GCUACUGCUUGGUUGGAACAAAAACCUGCAGCCACAGCGGCCCUUGGUGGAACAGUUUGGGCACUGAUUUCUGUGCACGGGGACCAGGUCUAAGUUGUUUUGCAUCAGAGUUCACUCUGGAAACUGAAAGACAAGAUUUCAGAUGUCAUCCAAUCAUCCGAGAUCAAGAUCUUCAAUACAUUCAUUCACUGCACAUGGAAAUGAACUGCAGCAGCUCAGCUCCCACCAAGUCCUCAGCUGCUGACUCUUUGACUGGCCUGCGACAAAACACCACUAGUAGAAAAAGUCUUAUGAACAAGGAGACAGGGUGAGCAGCCUGAGGCCUAUUUUCUAGUCUGUGUGUUGUGUAAAAAAAAAGUGCAGUAACUGGAGGCCCAGAAUCUUCUCACCAUUACAAGAGGAAAACUUGACUGUCUGACCACCAUCUAUUAUUUACCGUCGGAUCAAAGCUGAGGGUGGAUGUGGGCCUGAGCAGGACCGUUAGCUCUGACAGGAUCUGUCUGUGUGGCUCACAAGUGUCGAGAACAUGAAAGCAGCAUGGAGGGACCGACAGACUCCAAGUGUGAUUCGAUGGCCUUAGUUUGUGUUUUCUGGCAGGAAACAGCAACUUCUUCUGACACCGCAACGAUUAUUUGACAUGUUUAAUCACAUCCUCUGUCUUCCUCUGUACUACUAGACGUGAUGUUAAAUAAUUCACUGUAACCUGUGUUAUUUUCAGAUUUUUCAGAUGUAACAAACAGGAGUAUAAAUCCAAAUGUAAGUGCUGGCAGAGGGAAGCAAAAAUAAACUAUUAUUAUAAAUAAAACUCAGCUUCCUGGAACGAAAUUGAGCUUCUCCAAAUUUUGAAUUCUGAGCAGAUGCCAAAUUAAUAGUUCUUUUCCUAUUUCUGCCAAAAGCACUGCAAAAUACCCUUCCAUUAGAGCUAAAACGAUAGCAGAAUUAUAAAUACUAAGUUGCUAAAAUAUUAUAAUAAAAUACGUGAACGUGAUUAGGCUGUUGCCGGUUGCUGAUGGUACGAGUUCUCUGUGUGAUAGUGUUGAGAUGAAGCUGCCGUCACAGACACAUUUGGAACUGCAGUGGCCUUAACUAUGAGCAAAUCAAGAUUCUCUUUCAAGAGUGAUUGAUUUUUACAUUUUAUUUCUUUGUUCCCUGCAAAGUAUUCAAACAUAAAAACAGAUUGCUGGUGCCAAAACAAUUACAUCAAUAAUAAACAGACAGUACUUAUGGCAGCUUGUGGUGUUUGAGAGAAACAUCUGGCCAACACCUGUAACUGCUUCACUGCUGUUUUGUCAAAAUCCACAGAGAAGUUUUUUUUUUAAUUACCAAGAAAAUGAUUUUAUGGCAAAAAAAAGUAGGAAUGGAUGAAAAGUAGGAACAUUUUGUCUCAUCACAAAUGUAACAGUUACAAAUAAAUGUGCUUUUACUCAUGUGUAGGGCUACGCUGUCAAUGUUCAUCCGAGGUUUCUGAUAAACAUUGUUUGUUGAAACUGCUGAAGAAAUACUGUUGAAUAAAAAGUUUUUUGUUUUUUUGUUUAUUAUCACGGAGCUGCAUGGAGAAUUUAGACAAAGCUAAUGGAGACACUGUAUGGACUUUUUUGUAAAUAUCCUUCACCCGAUGUGUGGUCGAGAACAAACUAGAUUCGAGUUUUUGAAGGAAAUGUAGAUAUUUGCUAAACUCUCAAGGUCUUUUCUCAUGGACACCAUAACAAAAAAAGAUUAAAUUUGAUCUUUUAGCCUUGUCAUUGUGAGUCUUAUAUACAAUGUGAACAUUGUAAUACAACUUUUUUUGUGUAUCAUGACCUAAAGUACAUUGAUGUUUUAAACAUUUUUGUAAUGAAAUGAAAGGUAGGGUGAGGUCUUAUACAUUGGAUAAACUCUAUCAUCAUAUCUUUAUGGAGCAGUGAACAGUGUUUAAUAAUUUGAAAUAGGAGGAUCCAUCCAUCCAUCCAUCCAUCCAUCUAUCUAUCUAUCUAUCUAUCUAUCU